rnacentral:tRNA from 1 species
GGCGGUGUGGCGGAAUUGGUAGACGCGGCAGAUUCAAAAUCUGCUGGGCUAGCGCCCGUGAGGGUUCAAGUCCCUCCACCGCUA